rnacentral:miRNA from 1 species
UGUCAGCGGAGUGAGAAGACGAAA